GACGAACGCUGGCGGCGUGCUUAACACAUGCAAGUCGAACGGAAAGGCCCUGCUUUUGUGGGGUGCUCGAGUGGCGAAAGGGUGAGUAACACGUGAGUAACCUGCCCUUGACUUUGGGAUAACUUCAGGAAACUGGGGCUAAUACCGGAUAGGAGCUCCUGCUGCAUGGUGGGGGUUGGAAAGUUUCGGCGGUUGGGGAUGGACUCGCGGCUUAUCAGCUUGUUGGUGGGGUAGUGGCUUACCAAGGCUUUGACGGGUAGCCGGCCUGAGAGGGUGACCGGCCACAUUGGGACUGAGAUACGGCCCAGACUCCUACGGGAGGCAGCAGUGGGGAAUAUUGCACAAUGGGCGGAAGCCUGAUGCAGCAACGCCGCGUGCGGGAUGACGGCCUUCGGGUUGUAAACCGCUUUCGCCUGUGGCGAAGCGUGAGUGACGGUAAUGGGUAAAGAAGCACCGGCUAACUACGUG
rnacentral:rRNA from 1 species